rnacentral:rRNA from 1 species
UACGUAGGGUGCGAGCGUUGUCCGGAAUUAUUGGGCGUAAAGAGCUUGUAGGCGGUCUGUCGCGUCUGCUGUGAAAAUCCGGGGCUCAACCCCGGACUUGCAGUGGGUACGGGCAGACUAGAGUGUGGUAGGGGAGACUGGAAUUCCUGGUGUAGCGGUGAAAUGCGCAGAUAUCAGGAGGAACACCGAUGGCGAAGGCAGGUCUCUGGGCCACUACUGACGCUGAGGCACGAAAGCCAGGGGAGCAAACGGG